rnacentral:rRNA from 1 species
GCCUACAGCCACACCACCCUGAGAGCAUCCAAUCCCAUCUGAUCUUGGAAGAUAAGCAAGGUCAGGCCCAGGUAGUACUUGGAAGGGAGACCUCCUGGGAAUACUGGGUGCUGUGCAGGCC